rnacentral:rRNA from 1 species
GUUGUGGUUAAAAAGCUCGUAGUUGGAUCUCAACAGCCUUGAAGCGGUUAACUUUGUAGUUUUACUGCUUUAUAGGCUGUGCUUUUGCUGGAGGUUUAGGGGUGCUCUUGAUCGAGUGUCUCUGAAUGCCAGCAGGUUUACUUUGAAAAAAUUAGAGUGCUCAAAGCAGGCUAAAAUGCCUGAAUAUUCGUGCAUGGAAUAAUAGAAUAGGAUGUCGAUCCUAUUUUGUUGGUUUUCGGGACUCGACAUAAUGAUAAAUAGGGACAGUCGGGGGCAUUUGUAUUCAAACGACAGAGGUGAAAUUCUUGGACCGUUUGAAGACAAACUACUGCGAAAGCAUUUGCCAAGAAUGUUUUCAUUAAUCAAGAACGAAAGUUAGAGGUUCGAAGGCGAUUAGAUACCGCCCUAGUUCUAACCAUAAACGAUGCCAGCUAGCGAUCUGCCUGCGUUUUUACUGUAGACUGGGCAGGAAGCUUCCGGGAAACCAAAGCAUUUGGGUUCCAGGGGAAGUAUGGUUGCAAAGCUGAAACUUAAAGGAAUUGACGGAAGGGCACCACCAGGAGUGGAG